GUGUCGUGGCCGAGUGGUUUAAGGCGCUUGACUGGAGAUGAGAAGGUCGAGGGUUCAAAUCCCUACACGGCACC
rnacentral:tRNA from 1 species